GACGAACGCUGGCGGCGUGCUUAACACAUGCAAGUCGAACGGAAAGGCCCCCAUCUUGGUGGGGGUGCUCGAGUGGCGAACGGGUGAGUAACACGUGGGUGAUCUGCCCUGUACUUCGGGAUAAGCUUGGGAAACUGGGUCUAAUACCGGAUAGGACCAUGGUUUAGUGUCUCAUGGUGGAAAGAUUAUUGUUUUGGUGCAGGAUGAGCUCGCGGCCUAUCAGCUUGUUGGUGGGGUAAUGGCCUACCAAGGCGUCGACGGGUAGCCGGCCUGAGAGGGUGGACGGCCACAUUGGGACUGGGAUACGGCCCAGACUCCUACGGGAGGCAGCAGUGGGGAAUAUUGCACAAUGGGCGCAAGCCUGAUGCAGCGACGCCGCGUGGGGGAUGACGGCCUUCGGGGUGUAAACUCCUUUCGUGAGGGACGAAGCCGCACUUUUUUUGGGUGUGGUGACGGUACCUUUGUUAAGAAGCACCGGCUAACUACGU
rnacentral:rRNA from 1 species